rnacentral:lncRNA from 1 species
UUGAUAACUGGACCUUAGGCCGGAGCCCGGAGAAAAGGGGGAGGGUUGAGAGUGUUUUUCAGUUUUUUUUUUUUAAAAGAAUGGAGCAAAUGAAAAUUUUUGAAGAAAUUUUGGCUUAAAUAGCCUAGUGAAACGACGCCGUUUCACUCAACUCCCAUGUGCCCAAAACGGCGCCGUUUUGACCUAGAUCGGACCAACCCGACCCAAACUGCCUAAGAUCCGCGUGUUUUUAGAUAAAAGGGGCUAUUUGCGCCCCUAGUCC